GGGCCCGUAAAGGUUUCGACGGGGAUUUUGCAGUAUGGUAAGCGAGCCGAGAUGUGGCAACUCGUUAAACAACCUCAAACUUAAAUAUAAACGCUAAUAACAGAAAAUUGGCUCUCGCUGCCUAAUUGCAGCGCGUCGCUCGCAGGAUGACCGCGACCUGCGACUCGGCGUCACUUAGCGGUAAAUGUGCACAGCCCGUUUGCUUUUGAAGCUGUCAUACACAAAAAAGCUACCUGAUAUAUAAGCCUGUUUGUCGGCGGAUAUUGACGGGAAUUUCAAAAGACAAAAUGCGCUCGGAGAAAGCUGUAUGAAUAGAUUUUCGGACAGGGGUUCGACUCCCCUCGGGUCCACCA
rnacentral:tmRNA from 1 species